CUCCUCUCAGGACUGCAUCUGGAGAGUUUCCAGUACUUUACCAGUCUUGGUUAUGGGAGGGAGAGUCAAGCAGAGACGUACCCAUUCCAUUCCUAGCUUGGCCCGUGGUUAACGAGUGGAAGGCGAUCUGCCACAAGU